rnacentral:rRNA from 1 species
GAUGAACGCUAGCGGCAGGCCUAAUACAUGCAAGUCGGACGGGAUUGGAACCAGAGCUUGCUCUGAUUCCAUGAGAGUGGCGCACGGGUGCGUAACGCGUGAGCAACCUACCUCUAUCAGGGGGAUAGCCUCUCGAAAGAGAGAUUAACACCGCAUAACAUCAACAGUUCGCAUGUCCGGUUGAUUAAAUAUUUAUAGGAUAGAGAUGGGCUCGCGUGACAUUAGCUAGUUGGUAGGGUAACGGCUUACCAAGGCGACGAUGUCUAGGGGCUCUGAGAGGAGAAUCCCCCACACUGGUACUGAGACACGGACCAGACUCCUACGGGAGGCAGCAGUAAGGAAUAUUGGUCAAUGGGCGGAAGCCUGAACCAGCCAUGCCGCGUGCAGGACGACUGCCCUAUGGGUUGUAAACUGCUUUUGUCCAGGAAUAAACCUAAAUACGUGUAUUUAGCUGAAUGUACUGGAAGAAUAAGGAUCGGCUAACUCCGUGCCAGCCGCCGCGGUAAAAC